rnacentral:rRNA from 1 species
CCUGGGGAAACUCGGGCUAAUACCUUAUAAGCCCCUCACGGGGGAAAGAUUUAUUGCCGAUAGGUGGGCCCGCGUUGGAUUAGGUAGUUGGUGGGGUAAAAGCCUACCAAGCCGACGAUCCAUAGCUGGUCUGAGAGGACGAUCAGCCACACUGGGACUGAGACACGGCCCAGACUCCUACGGGAGGCAGCAGUGGGGAAUCUUGGACAAUGGGGGAAACCCUGAUCCAGCCAUGCCGCGUGAGUGAAGAAGGCCUUAGGGUUGUAAAGCUCUUUCGCACGUGACGAUGAUGACGGUAACGUGAGAAGAAGCCCCGGCUAACUUCGUGCCAGCAGCCGCGGUAAUACGAAGGGGGCUAGCGUUGUUCGGAAU